AGUAGUUCGUAUCCUGGCUCAGGACGAACGCUGGCGGCGUGCUUAACACAUGCAAGUCGAACGGAAAGGCCCUGCUUUUGUGGGGUGCUCGAGUGGCGAACGGGUGAGUAACACGUGAGUAACCUGCCCUUGACUUUGGGAUAACUUCAGGAAACUGGGGCUAAUACCGGAUAGGAGCUCCUGCUGCAUGGUGGGGGUUGGAAAGUUUCGGCGGUUGGGGAUGGACUCGCGGCUUAUCAGCUUGUUGGUGGGGUAGUGGCUUACCAAGGCUUUGACGGGUAGCCGGCCUGAGAGGGUGGCCGGCCACAUUGGGACUGAGAUACGGCCCAGACUCCUACGGGAGGCAGCAAUGGGGAAUAUUGCACAAUGGGCGGAAGCCUGAUGCAGCAACGCCGCGUGCGGGAUGACGGCCUUCGGGUUGUAAACCGCUUUCGCCUGUGACGAAGCGUGAGUGACGGUAAUGGGUAAAGAAGCACCGGCUAACUACGUG
rnacentral:rRNA from 1 species